UUUGAGCGUAACCACGAGUUUUAAUUCCUUGUUCAAUUUUUGAUUGUCUGUUUCUUUUCAAAUUCUUUUAUCAUUAGUAUUUUUGUUGUUUUUAGUUGAUAAAACAUGAAUAAUACUUUAUGCGUGACUUUUUUUUUAACUUUUUUCAAAAAAAAAAAUAAAUUCAAAUAAGACGGACGAUAAAAGUUGGACAUGGAACUCAUGGUUGCGUUUAAA
rfam:Oryza nivara chromosome 10, whole genome shotgun sequence.